GGGGAAUUAGCUCAAGUGGUAGAGUGCUUGCUUAGCAUGCAAGAGGCAGUGGGAUCAAUGCCCACAUUCUCCA
rnacentral:tRNA from 1 species